GACGAACGCUGGCGGCGUGCUUAACACAUGCAAGUCGAACGGAAAGGCCCUGCUUUUGUGGGGUGCUCGAGUGGCGAACGGGUGAGUAACACGUGAGUAACCUGCCCUUGACUUUGGGAUAACUUCAGGAAACUGGGGCUAAUACCGGAUAGGAGCUCCUACUGCAUGGUGGGGGUUGGAAAGUCUCGGCGGUUGGGGAUGGACUCGCGGCUUAUCAGCUUGUUGGUGGGGUGGUGGCUUACCAAGGCUUUGACGGGUAGCCGGCCUGAGAGGGUGACCGGCCACAUUGGGACUGACAUACGGCCCAGACUCCAACGUGAGGCAGCAGUGGCGAAUAUUGCACAAUCGGCGGAAGCCUGAUGCAGCAACUCCGCGUGCGGGAUGACGGCCUUCGGGUUGUAAACCGCUUUCGCCUGUGACGAAGCGUGAGUGACGGUAAUGGGUAAAGAAGCACCGGCUAACUACGUG
rnacentral:rRNA from 1 species